GCAUUUUAAAAAAAAUUUAUACUUAAUAUUAUUGCUUGAUUUAUGCUGGCUAAAAAAAUUUCGAAAUUCACAUGAUAGUCUAUCAUGAGUAGAUAAAGGAGAACACAACGACAUAUCUUUUCAAAUAAAAUAAAAAAUAAUAAAUAUAUUUCGUCCAAUAAAACAAGCCUAACAAUCUAAUUCUUCAAACUCAUCACAGCACUUCCGCCGUUAUUGAUAAAUUGAGGGCC
rnacentral:lncRNA from 1 species